rnacentral:rRNA from 1 species
GACGAACGCUGGCGGCGUGCUUAACACAUGCAAGUCGAACGAUGAAGAAAAGAAUUGAAGCUUCGGCAGAAAUUCAUUUCGGAUUAGUGGCAGACGGGUGAGUAACGCGUGAGCAACCUACCUCUUACAAAGGGAUAGCCUCGGGAAACCGGGAUUAAUACCAUAUAACAUUGCGACGAAGCAUUUCGAUGCAAUCAAAGCUACGGCGGUAAGAGAUGGGCUCGCGUCCCAUUAACCAGAUGGUGAGGUAACGGCUCACCAUAGUAACGAUGGGUAACCGGCCUGAGAGGGUGAACGGUCACACUGGAACUGAGACACGGUCCAGACUCCUACGGGAGGCAGCAGUGGAGAAUAUUGCACAAUGGAGGGAACUCUGAUGCAGCGACGCCGCGUGAGUGAUGAAGGAAUUCGUUUCGUAAAACUCUGUUCUAUGGGAAGAAAAGGACUGUACCAUAGGAGAAAGCUCCGGCUAAAUACGUG